UACGUAGGGUGCAAGCGUUAAUCGGAAUUACUGGGCGUAAAGCGUGCGCAGGCGGUUAUGCAAGACAGAUGUGAAAUCCCCGGGCUUAACCUGGGAACUGCAUUUGUGACUGCAUGACUAGAGUACGGUAGAGGGGGAUGGAAUUCCGCGUGUAGCAGUGAAAUGCGUAGAUAUGUGGAGGAACACCGAUGGCGAAGGCAAUCCCCUGGACCUGUACUGACGCUCAUGCACGAAAGCGUGGGGAGCAAACAGG
rnacentral:rRNA from 1 species